rnacentral:rRNA from 1 species
CCUCAAAUCAGGUAGGACUACCCGCUGAACUUAAGCAUAUCAAUAAGCGGAGGAAAAGAAACUAACAAGGAUUCCCCUAGUAACGGCGAGUGAAGCGGGAAGAGCUCAAAUUUAAAAUCUGGCGGCCUCAGGUCGUCCGAGUUGUAGUCUAGAGAAGUGUUUUCCGCGCUGGACCGUGUACAAGUCCCUUGGAACAGGGCGUCAUAGAGGGUGAGAAUCCCGUCUUUGACACGGACUACCAGUGCUAUGUGAUGCACUCUCGAAGAGUCGAGUUGUUUGGGAAUGCAGCUCAAAUCGGGUGGUAAAUUCCAUCUAAAGCUAAAUAUUGGCGAAAGACCGAUAGCGAACAAGUACCGUGAGGGAAAGAUGAAAAGCACUUUGGAAAGAGAGUUAAACAGUACGUGAAAUUGUUGAAAGGGAAACGCUUGAAGUCAGUCGCGUCUUGCGGAACUCAGCUGAGCUUGCUCGGUGCAUUUUCUGUUUGACGGGCCAGCAUCAAUUUCGGCCGGUUGGAAAAAGGUGGGGGGAAUGUGGCACCUCCGGGUGUGUUAUAGCCCCUUGUCAUAUACAUCGGUUGGGAUUGAGGACUGCAGCACGCCUUUAUUGGCCGGGGUUCGCCCACGUAACGUGCUUAGGAUGCUGGCGU